rnacentral:tRNA from 1 species
GAUACAGCUCAGUUGGUAGAGUGCUUGCCUUACAUGCACAAGGCCCUGGGUUUGAUCCCUAGCAUCA